AGUGAACGCUGGCGGUAGGCCUAACACAUGCAAGUCGAACGGCAGCACAGGAGAGCUUGCUCUCUGGGUGGCGAGUGGCGGACGGGUGAGGAAUACAUCGGAAUCUGCUCUGUCGUGGGGGAUAACGUAGGGAAACUUACGCUAAUACCGCAUACGACCUACGGGUGAAAGCAGGGGACCUUCGGGCCUUGCGCGAUUGAAUGAGCCGAUGUCGGAUUAGCUAGUUGGCGGGGUAAAGGCCCACCAAGGCGACGAUCCGUAGCUGGUCUGAGAGGAUGAUCAGCCACACUGGAACUGAGACACGGUCCAGACUACUACGGGAGGCAGCAGUGGGGAAUAUUGGACAAUGGGCGCAAGCCUGAUCCAGCCAUACCGCGUGGGUGAAGAAGGCCUUCGGGUUGUAAAGCCCCUUUGUUGGGAAAGAAAUCCAGCUGGCUAAUACCCGGUUGGGAUGACGGUACCCAAAGAAUAAGCACCGGCUAACUUCGUGCCAGCCGCCGCGGUAA
rnacentral:rRNA from 1 species